GAUGAAGAACGUAGCGAAAUGCGAUAAGUAGUGUGAAUUGCAGAAUUCAGUGAAUCAUCGAAUCUUUGAACGCACAUUGCGCCCUUUGGUAUUCCUUAGGGCAUGCCUGUUCGAGCGUCAUUUGACCCCUCAAGCUCAGCUUGGUGUUGGGGCCUGCUGCACUGGCAGCCCUUAAAAUCAGUGGCGGCGCCAUCUGGCUCUAAGCGUAGUAAUUCUUCUCGCUAUGGAGUCCUGGUGGAUGCUUGCCAUCAACCCCCAAUUUUUCUAUGGUUGACCUCGGAUCAGGUAGGGAUACCCGCUGAACUUAAGCAUAUCAAUAAGCGGAGGA
rnacentral:misc_RNA from 1 species